rnacentral:rRNA from 1 species
AACGUAGGAGACAACCGUUAUCCGGAGUUACUGGGCGUAAAGGGCGUGUAGGUGGUUGCGUAAGUCUGGCGUGAAAUAUCUCGGCUUAACCGAGGCAGGUCGUCGGAUACUGCGUAACUGGAGGACGGUAGAGGCGUGUGGAAUUCCGGGUGUAGUGGUGAAAUGCGUAGAGAUCCGGAGGAACACCAGUGGCGAAGGCGACACGCUGGGCCGUACCUGACACUGAUGCGCGACAGCAUGGGGAGCAAACAGG